AACGAACGCUGGCGGCAUGCCUAACACAUGCAAGUCGAACGAGACCUUCGGGUCUAGUGGCGCACGGGUGCGUAACGCGUGGGAACCUGCCCUUAGGUUCGGAAUAACUCCCCGAAAGGGGUGCUAAUACCGGAUAAUGUCUUCGGACCAAAGAUUUAUCGCCUUUGGAUGGGCCCGCGUUGGAUUAGCUAGUUGGUAGGGUAAAAGCCUACCAAGGCGACGAUCCAUAGCUGGUCUGAGAGGAUGAUCAGCCACACUGGGACUGAGACACGGCCCAGACUCCUACGGGAGGCAGCAGUGGGGAAUAUUGGACAAUGGGCGAAAGCCUGAUCCAGCAAUGCCGCGUGAGUGAUGAAGGCCUUAGGGUUGUAAAGCUCUUUUACCCGGGAUGAUAAUGACAGUACUGGGAGAAUAAGCUCCGGCUAACUCCGUG
rnacentral:rRNA from 1 species